rnacentral:rRNA from 1 species
UACGAAGGGGGCUAGCGUUGUUCGGAAUUACUGGGCGUAAAGCGCACGUAGGCGGACAUUUAAGUUAGGGGUGAAAUCCCAGAGCUCAACUCUGGAACUGCCUUUGAUACUGGGUGUCUUGAGUAUGGAAGAGGUGAGUGGAAUUCCGAGUGUAGAGGUGAAAUUCGUAGAUAUUCGGAGGAACACCAGUGGCGAAGGCGGCUCACUGGUCCAUUACUGACGCUGAGGUGCGAAAGCGUGGGGAGCAAACAGG